GAAUUUUGCGCAAUGGAGGCAACUCUGACGCAGCCACGCCGCGUGCAGGAAGACCCCCCUAUGGGGUGUAAACUGCUUUUCUGUGAGAAGAAGGCCCCGCCAUGCGGGGAGUGACGGUAUCGCAGGAAUAAGCACCGGCUAACUCCGUGCCAGCAGCCGCGGUAAUACGGAGGGUGCAAGCGUUGUCCGGAAUUAUUGGGUGUAAAGGGUGUGCAGGCGGGGCGGUAAGUCAGGGGUGAAAGUCUACGGCUCAACCGUAGGACGGCCUUUGAUACUGCCGUCCUUGAGUCCCGGAGAGGCCACUAGAAUUCGUGGUGUAGCGGUGAAAUGCGUAGAUAUCACGAGGAAUACCAGAAGCGUAGGCGGGUGGCUGGACGGCGACUGACGCUCAGGCACGAAAGCGUGGGGAGCGAAC
rnacentral:rRNA from 1 species